CUUGCCUACGGGGGGCAGCAGUGGGGAAUAUUGCACAAUGGGGGGAACCCUGAUGCAGCGACGCCGCGUGAGUGAAGAAGUAUUUCGGUAUGUAAAGCUCUAUCAGCAGGGAAGAAGAUGACGGUACCUGCAGAAGAAGCCCCGGCUAACUACGUGCCAGCAGCCGCGGUAAUACGUAGGGGGCAAGCGUUAUCCGGAUUCAUUGGGCGUAAAGCGCGCGCAGGCGGGUUGCUAAGCGGGACCUCUAAUCUCAGGGCUCAACCUUGAGCCGGGUCCCGAACUGGCAGCCUCGGGGUCGGUAGGGG
rnacentral:rRNA from 1 species